GGCUCUGCACAGUGGCAGUACCGCAGCCAAUGAGGCUUGUCUAAGGGGCGAUUAUUGCUCAUUGAAAACUUUUCCCCAUACUCCGCCAUGACGACUUGAAACCUUGGCACGUUUUAACAGUCUCUAUGGAGA
ensembl:snRNA U4 U4 spliceosomal RNA